GACUCUCGGCAAUAGACAUCUCGGCUCUCACAUCGAUAAAGAAUGUAGCAAAAUGUGAUACUUGGUGUGAACUGUAGAAUCUCGUGAAUCGUAGAAUAUUUGAACGCAAGUUGCGCCCAAAGCCAUUAGGCCGUGGACACGUCUCCUUGGGCGUCA